GUCGAACGGGCUCUUCGGAGCAAGUGGCGGACGGGUGAGUAACGCGUGAGAAUGUGCCUUCAGGAUGGGGAUAACAAUAGGAAACUAAUGCUAAGACCCAAUGUGCCUUAAGUGGUGAAAAAUGAAAAUUGCCUGAAGAGGAGCUCGCGUCUGAUUAGCUAGUUGGGGUGGUAAAAGCGCACCAAGGCAACGAUCAGUAGCUGGUCUGAGAGGAUGAGCAGCCACACUGGGACUGAGACACGGCCCAGACUCCUACGGGAGGCAGCAGUGGGGAAUUUUCCGCAAUGGGCGAAAGCCUGACGGAGCAAUACCGCGUGAGGGAGGAAGGCUCUUGGGUUGUAAACCUCAAAACUUAGGGAAGAAAAAAAAUGACGGUACCUAAUUUAAGCAUCGGCUAACUCCGUG
rnacentral:rRNA from 1 species